AACGCAUAUGGCGCCUUGCGGGGCAACCCGGAGGGCAUGCCUGUUUGAGAAUCCUUUCACCAUUUACUUUGGGCCUUCAUCAGUGAUUGCCUGGAAGCCAGCAGUGUUUGUUGUGUCAGGGAGCAAUCCGCGUGCAGCAAACCCGUCGUUUUUACUGUGAUCUCAAAUCAGGCAAGACUACCCGCCGAACUUAA
rnacentral:misc_RNA from 1 species